UUCUUGGUCAUUUAGAGGAAGUAAAAGUCGUAACAAGGUUUCCGUAGGUGAACCUGCGGAAGGAUUAUUAAAGAAAUUUAAUAAUUUUGAAAAUGGAUUUUUUUGUUUUGGCAAGAGCAUGAGAGCUUUUACUGGGCAAGAAGACAAGAGAUGGAGAGUCCAGCCGGGCCUGCGCUUAAGUGCGCGGUCGUGCUAGGCUUGUAAGUUUCUUUCUUGCUAUUCCAAACGGUGAGAGAUUUCUGUGCUUUUGUUAUAGGACAAUUAAAACCGUUUCAAUACAACACACUGUGGAGUUUUCAUAUCUUUGCAACUUUUUCUUUGGCGUUCGAGCAAUCGGGGCCCAGAGGUAACAAACACAAACAAUUUUAUCUAUUCAUUAAAUUUUUGUCAAAAACAAGAAUUUUCGUAACUGGAAAUUUUAAAAUAUUAAAAACUUUCAACAACGGAUCUCUUGGUUCUCGCAUCGAUGAAGAACGCAGCGAAAUGCGAUACGUAAUGUGAAUUGCAGAAUUCCGUGAAUCAUCGAAUCUUUGAACGCACAUUGCGCCCCUUGGUAUUCCAGGGGGCAUGCCUGUUUGAGCGUCAUUUCCUUCUCAAACAUUCUGUUUGGUAGUGAGUGAUACUCUUUGGAGUUAACUUGAAAUUGCUGGCCUUUUCAUUGGAUGUUUUUUUUCCAAAGAGAGGUUUCUCUGCGUGCUUGAGGUAUAAUGCAAGUACGGUCGUUUUAGGUUUUACCAACUGCGGCUAAUCUUUUUUUAUACUGAGCGUAUUGGAACGUUAUCGAUAAGAAGAGAGCGUCUAGGCGAACAAUGUUCUUAAAGUUUGACCUCAAAUCAGGUAGGAGUACCCGCUGAACUUAAGCAUAUCAAUAAGCGGAGGAA
rnacentral:rRNA from 1 species